AUUAGUUUCAACCUUUUCCCCCAAAGCCUCUUAUCAAAGCUACUAACGGAAUACAACUGACUGCUUUGACCUUGUCCUUUGUUUAUGUCUUCAGGGGACAAUACUAGUGAAAACUGAAGUGCCCUAAAGAUAGGAAACAAAUGGGAGGUCACAAAGCCGGGACUGUACAAAGUGGAGCUGAGCCGGCUGGUCCCUGCCAACCAGUGGCUGUGGAGACAGGAGAUACGAUUGUCAACAAUAGAAGCAGAACUCUUCUAUAUUGUAUACAACAUUCUGAAGUCUUUGGGUUUCAUGCCACAAAAAGAGGGAUACACCAGAAUGGUAGAGUGAGUUGUUGGAAAGGCACUGACUGGGGCCAGUUUCCUUUAAACAGAACAAGGGCAUUGGACGGUCACUUUUCUUUCCAGCUCCCAAAUUCUGAGCAAUGUUAGCCCUUAUUCCAGUUUUUUUGUUUGUUUGUUUUUGUAGCUGUAGUCAUUGAUGUCAGACCCUUUUGCAGGGCCAACUCCAUCUGUCCCAGAACCAAUCUCAAUGAAGAAAGGAAAAACUAGCAGUUCUGAGACAAAAAAGGAUCUUCUACAUACACACACACUCUAGAACAGUCUCACAACACACUUGACUCCCAGUGCCUUUUGAUUUUGGGGACUAAAGCGCCAACCUGCAAUUAAUUUUCUGUGGAGUGAGAUAUUUGAUUUUUUUUUUUUUUUUUUGUCCUGCAUCCCAUUCUGUCUGGCACUGCCAUCCUACUCUUACAAUAUGAUUCUGGUGAAUGACCCAAUAAUGUAACCCCCGAAACCAUCAACUUCAGGGGUAGACACUUGUAGCUGAUUAGAGCCCUUCCUCAGAACCACUAUCUGAAAGAAUAGAAUCACAAAAGAGAAUCAGUGACUUGUUUCUGGAAUUAAGAAGUCUUAGGAAUAAGCAAACUAGCAACUAGGAGGGAUCAUCUUUAUUGCCUAAGAAUGAAGCCAACACAGAAAAAAGAAGAGGGAGAGAAGAGAUAUUGAUGACAUUGCUUUUUGUAUUCUGGAUUCUAUACACACCAGAAGCAACCUUCUCUCCUUUGGACUUUCCAGAUAUACUGUUAAACCAUUUAACAGAAGGAGCAUGACAACAGUCUUGGAUGUAUUUAUUUUCAUUAUCAAGACCAUCUCAGUAAGAUGAGGAAACCCAGGCUUGGUUGGAAAAGAAUCUGCACAUAGUCAUACGGUUCACAUGUGGCAAAGCAGAGGAUCAGAAUAUGAUAUCGACAAAGCCUUUUGUAUGACCUCCAUACAACUUCUUGAAAAAAUAUUAAAAUUAUGU